GCCGGGGUGAGUACUCCUUUUCUCUCAACCAUCUGUGAGUCUCUUGCCAGGAGAGGGAGUGGCCCAGCUGUUCCUGAUCAGUGGGGUGUUUUCCUAUUUAAGGUGGAUGGAGGACACAAUUCGACGCCGGAAGAUUGCCUCAGUUUUGGAUUCCUGUCGAUCUCAUUGGAUACUAACCUCUACUCCAGGAGUUGGACAUUCAGCACGCGGACCUCAUCACCAACCUCCAUAACCCACCUCUCAUCUCAACCCAGUGCCCCAUCCGCCAGGACGCCCUGCUUCUCUCCGCCUCUGCUCCCUCUCCUGCGCUUCCCCCAGCUCUCUACCUCUCCCUCCUCCAGCCACCAUAUACACGCCCCACAGUAAGUUCUGCUGAACACCUCUGCCUGCCUACAAUGGAUUUUGAAGUCAGAACCUAUGCUCACCUGUGUUCUCCCUCCUCCAGACGCUGAGCUGUCGUAGCAGUUCCAACCACAGACUUAUCUGUGCAUCCUAAGUUCCUCCUUUAGAAAUGAAUCAUUUUACCAUCCAUUUUUGGUCUGUGUUGCAUUCUGCAUGUCUUGGGUUAGGUACCUUCCUCCAAACAUGACAGCUACGAAAAGAGAGGUUUACACAGAAAUGCUUCAGUGAUAUCCAGCCAUGGUCGUUCAGGGCCACUACCCUGCUAUCCUGCAUGUUUCAGAUGUUUCUCUGCUUUAAAACAGCUGACUCAAACCAACGAGUGAUUGACAGGCUUCUGUAGAACCUGAGGACAUGCUGAGGAGGUAAUUCACCCAAUAAGUCAGGUCUUCUGCAGAAGGGAUACAUUUUUAAAGAGUAGGAUGGCCCUUGAGAACCAGGAGUGGACACAGCACCUGUUUGAAAAGAUAGUCAGGAGGACAGAGUCCAGGGAACAAUGAUGGCCAUUUACAGAACUGUUACGGUCUUCAUCAUUUUUAUUUCCAGACCAGGACAUGUGAUGAUACACUCAAGGAUGCAAUGAAGAACAUUUACAGGAAGUUUGACCAUCAUCUGGCCAGGGCAGACACAAAGGCUCUGCAUGCUUGAUGGAUUUACCAAGAUCUAAACUCAUCACUGCUUUUACACCUACACUGACGAACCCAUGAGAGAGGACUGCUGGUUCUUCUGAAGAGACGUUCAGUUUAAACUUUACCUAUAACACACACACACGCGCGCACACGCGCGCACACGCGCGCACACGCGCACGCGCGCGCACGCACGCGCGCGCGCACACACACACACACACACACACACACACACACACACACACCUCGGUGUGACUAACACUUUAGUUUAAUCACUGACACGUUUCCUGUAUCCUGCUCAUU
rnacentral:lncRNA from 1 species